AAUGAACGUUGGCGGCAUGGAUUAGGCAUGCAAGUCGAGCGAGAAGGGUUUUGAAGCUUGCUUCAGAACCCGGAAAGCGGCGCAAGGGAGAGUAACGAGUAGUUAUCUACCCCAAGGCCCGGAAUAGCUGCGGGAAACUGCAGGUAAUGCCGGAUAAUAUCCCCGGAUCAAAGGUGUGAUUCCGCCUUGGGAGGAGACUGCUUUGUACUAGCUAGUUGGUAGGGUAAUGGCCUACCAAGGCUACGAUGCAUAGCGGGGGUGAGAGCGUGGCCCGUCUCACUGGGACUGAAACACUGCCCAGACACCUGCGGGUGGCUGCAGUCGAGAAUCUUCGGCAAUGGGCGAAAGCCUGACCGAGCGAUGCCGCGUGCGGGAUGAAGGCCCUCGGGUUGUAAACCGCUGUCGUAGAGGAGAAAGGUCUGAUGAAGAAUCAGAUUUGAUCUAUUCUAGGAGGAAGUCGGGGCUAAGUUCGUGCCAGCCGCCGCGGUAA
rnacentral:rRNA from 1 species